GAUGAACGCUAGCGGCAGGCCUAAUACAUGCAAGCCGAACGGCAAGUUUGAUAGCAAUAUUGGACCUAGAGUGGCGCAAGGGUGCGUAACACGUAUGCAACCUGCCCGCGACAGGAGGAUAGCUCCCCGAAAGGGGAAUUAACCCUCCUUAACACCUUGAGAAGGCAUCUGUUUAUGGUUAAACCGCAAGGGGUCGCGGAUGUGCAUGCGGUUGAUUAGCUAGUUGGCGGGGUAAUGGCCCACCAAGGCAGCGAUCAAUAGGGGUCCUGCGAGGGAGGUCGGCCACACUGGAACUGAGACAGGGUCCAGACUACUACGGGAGGCGGCAGUAGGGAAUGUGACGCAAGGGGCGGAUGCCUGAGGGAGCAACGCCGCGGGAGUGAGGAAGAUCAGCGUAUCGUGAAACUCUGUUAUUAGUGAAGAACAAAUGAGUAAGGAACGAUGCGCGUCUUGACGGUACCGAAUCAGAAAGCCACGGCUAACUACGGG
rnacentral:rRNA from 1 species